AACGAACGCUGGCGGCAUGCCUAACACAUGCAAGUCGAACGAGACCUUCGGGUCUAGUGGCGCACGGGUGCGUAACGCGUGGGAACCUGCCUUUAGGUUCGGAAUAACUCAGAGAAAUUUGAGCUAAUACCGGGUGAUGUCUUCGGACCAAAGAUUUAUCGCCUUUAGAUGGGCCCGCGUUGGAUUAGCUAGUUGGUGGGGUAAAGGCCUACCAAGGCGACGAUCCAUAGCUGGUCUGAGAGGAUGAUCAGCCACACUGGGACUGAGACACGGCCCAGACUCCUACGGGAGGCAGCAGUGGGGAAUAUUGGACAAUGGGCGAAAGCCUGAUCCAGCAAUGCCGCGUGAGUGAUGAAGGCCUUAGGGUUGUAAAGCUCUUUUACCCGAGAUGAUAAUGACAGUAUCGGGAGAAUAAGCUCCGGCUAACUCCGU
rnacentral:rRNA from 1 species